GGCAGCAUGGUGUAGUGGUUUUAUCUCUGGACUAUGACUCUGGAGAUCAGGGUUCAAGUCCCGGUUUGACCA